CAAGAUACGCAUUGCAAUUUGGUACAUCAUGUAAAACGAUAUUAACAAGGCGCUGGAAAGUUGCUGGGGCAUUUCUAAGCCCAAAAGCCAUCGCCGUAUACUGGAGGAAGUUAUCUGGGGUUACAAAGGCUGAAAUCUCAGAAGCUUGUGAGGUAACAGGAGAUGGCGCCAGAUCCACGGCUAGCGCAACAGAAGAGACAACGGGCCCUGCAGUGUGUUCCACAGCACCGGCCGUUGGCGUUGACGACUCUCUGGGACCAAAGAAACGAGCAGACAAAGAUGAUCCUGGGACAGAUUCAUAUCCAAUGAUGUGUCACCCGAGAACAGUGGAAACAUGAAUGAAUUAGACAGAUCAACUACAUAACCUACUCUGCGCGACUGAGCGCGCGUAACGGCGCAGGCUGGAAAAAUAUCAGGGUAAGUUUCAGACAGUACCUCUAACUCACAAAACGCAUCUGGUUCAUCAACAACUUCAAUAACAGGCAUUACCUUUCCACCUGCCAGGUCAUUUCCAAGAAUAACAUCAACACCUAUCACAGGAAGUGAAGGACUCACAGCAACUCUCACAAAACCAGUACACAACUCGCUCUGUAAGUGCACACGAUGGAGCGGGAAUC